GUCUGGCUCGCUCAACGGCAGGGCGCCCGGCUGAAGCCCGGGAGAUCGUGGUUCCCACAAGGGACUAGGGCCUGCGGCCCGUCGCGAUUCCACGGCCAGGCACCA
rnacentral:tRNA from 1 species